AUUGAACGCUGGCGGCAGGCUUAACACAUGCAAGUCGAGCGAGCGGCGGACGGGUGAGUAAUGUCUGGGAAACUGCCUGAUGGAGGGGGAUAACUACUGGAAACGGUAGCUAAUACCGCAUACCAUCGGAUGUUCCCAGCUGGGAUUAGCUAGUAGGUGGGGUAAAGGCUCACCUAGGCGACGAUCCCUAGCUGGUCUGAGAGGAUGAAACGCCAGACUGGAACUGCGACACGGUCCAGACUCCGACGUGAGUCAGCAGUGGGGAAGAUUGCACAAUGGGCGCAAGCCUGAUGCAGCCAGGCCGCGUGUAUGAAGAAGGCCUUCGGGUUGUAAAGUACUUUCAGCGGGGAGGCGUUACCCGCAGAAGAAGCACCGGCUAACUCCGUGCCAGCAGCCGCGGUAAUUC
rnacentral:rRNA from 1 species